GUUGUGUUACUUGGAGACAUGUAGACCAUAAGGUUGCGUAUUAGGUCUGUCUCUCAAAAACCAGCAAUCAGUAUUUUUCUGACAGGUGGCUGAAUCAUGGCAGAAACUAAUAGAAGUGAAACAGGAGGAAGGUGCAGAAAAGGCAGAGCUUCAUCAACUUUGGAAGAAGAUGAUCCAGUUACUGAAAGACAGCACACAGAACCAGGAUAAAAAGCCUGAGCAGUUGGUUUGCAGAAGACUAGCCAGUGUCCAGCAGCAUAGCACUAUUUUGCAGAGAACAGAUGAAAAUUCACAAACACAGGAAUGCUGUCCUCCUCUGUCCUGUAAUCAAGUGCAGCAGCUCAGAGGGGUCCCUGUCUCCUACACUCAAACCCCAGUUCUUGCCUUGGCACUCUGACCUGUGACAAAACUCCCCCAUCCAUCACCUUUGGGCAAGUCUGCAUCACAAAUUUUCUGGACUCCAAACUUUGGACCCAAGGCUGCAGAAACACCGGGUUUUUGUGCUCUUGGGGGGACACAUCCACGCCCCAGCACGAUGCUGCCUGUUGCAAGGCAGGGAAAUUAUACUGCCCUCAUACUGCGUCCACAGAGGCAGAGGGAGCUCACAGGU